AGCCGCCACUUAUUUGCUGGCUUGACCAUAGCAAGAGAACAGGGAGAGCAGCUGGGGACUGCAGUUUCCCCUUUACUGAGACCAGAAUGAGCAGAGAUGGUCUGGGAACAGGAAGCCUGAUUUUCUGAUAUCCUGAUCCUUGUGCUCUCAUUUGCACCAGUACAAAGUGAGUGUGAUACAUUACCAUCCUCUUUUAGCAGCCCUUUGCCCUGAUGCAAACACAGCACCAGGUGCAGGGCAACAACAAUUCAGCCCCGGAGAGCCACUGAAGCUGGUCCCUAUCUAAACCUGAGGAGCAGAAGAGAGAGGUCACUGGAGAGAGCAUCUAAACCUCAAGGAGCAAAGCAGAACACAGCAGCGACCAGCUGUGGCUUCCCAUUGGCCUGAAUCCUGCAGAGAAGAAGGUGACCCACAGCACCAAGUCACUGCAGCUCCUAGGCUGUGAGGAGCAUCAGACAGAAAGGAGACUGGAGAACAGAGCUAGUCCUUUGUCUGAGACCCAAGGACUUGGAGGAGAUUCAGAGCAGAUCCCUUUGUUCUUGGGGAGCAGAAGCCACUGCAGAAUUUGAAGGCAGUUGAAUGAAUGCUGAUUCCAGCAAUGAUUCUUGCACUGUGUCUGUGGCUUGUUUCUUUGAGUUUUACAUCCCAGCAGCAGCUGGCCUCCAACUGCAUUUCCUCAUCAGGGGAUCUCCUUGCUCCUGAACUAUAUCUGGACAAGUCAUCGGCUUAUGUGGGCGACACUGUUCUUUAUCGGUGUCUCACCCCCUCGGACGCCCCUGUGAGCUUCGCUUUCCUUUGCAAGGAUGGCAAGGAAAUGACCAGGAAACCGGCUGUGCCAGGGAAAUUGUCCUUUGACUUUCCCCAUCAUGUGUCUGGGCAGAGUUCGGGCAACUAUUCCUGUGGGUAUCAGCACAAGAGCCUCCACAACCAAGUGCAGAGUUCUCACCUCAGCAUCACCCACUACCUGAGUGUCACAAGUGAGUAAGCGUCCAUUGU
rnacentral:lncRNA from 1 species